CGUUUUGUCGAAAAAGAACUAAUUUCGGGAUUCUGUCGACGGGAACAGACAGCUUCGAAAUAUUUUUCUGCUCUGAUCACGUGACACCGGCAGAAUAUUCUUUCGCUGGAUCAGACGCCAUGUUCUUUUUAACCUCAAUCUUUAAUUGUUGAAUGGUUUGUUUUGAUAUUGGUUGUCAGAUUUCGGAUCGGUACUAUUAUACUGUGAAAUUAAUUUUCAGUAGAAAAUUGAGGUAUAAAAUAUUUCCAUUGGUUUCUUUAUUCUUAUAAUUUUUACAAGAGAAAUUGAAAAUGGAUUUACAACAGAAAGGCGUGAAAUUAAUUAUAAAUUUGAUGCGACAGUUCAAAGUUUAGUACUUUCCUGACCUGCACAACGAAUUACCUAUUUGAAAAGUAGAAUAUGGUUAAAAAUUGCUGAUGUGAUAGAGGAGUCAAGUACCAUUUACAAAAAAAAUAUUGAAGAGAAUGUGCUCAAAAGGAAAUGCAUAUGAAUUCUUUUUUGUUGACCAGGAUGGAAAAAUUCUUUGGAACCCAUAGUUAGAAUAAGUUAGUUAGGCCUAGUGGUGUACCAGCCAGAAGUAGAGGAUGACAAAGAAAAUCAACUACAAAUAAUAUUCCAUAGAUAUGAUUCAUGUAUGAUGUAGUAGCCUACAGAAGAAAGAGAUG